GGCCCAGAGUGUGAAAUCCCAAGGUGUA
rnacentral:piRNA from 1 species